rnacentral:rRNA from 1 species
GGGCGUAAAGGGUUUGUAGNUUGUCAGGUAUGUCGGGAUGGGAAAUUCGCGGGGCUCAACCCCCGGGGCUGCAUUCGAAACUGCAUGGCUAGAGUGCGGAAGAGGCAGCCGGAAUUCUUGGUGUAGCGGUGAAAUGCGUUGAUAUCAAGAAGAACACCGGAUGCGAAGGCGGCCUGCUGGUACGUUACUGACACUCAUACACGAAAGCUGGGGGAGCAAACAGGUUUAGAUACCCUGGUAGUCCCAGCUGUAAACGGUGUGCACUCGAUGUUGGCGGAAUUGUCCCCGCCAGUGUCCAAGCAAACGCGUUAAGUGCACCGCCUGGGGAGUACGGUCGCAAGAUUAAAACUCAAAGAAAUUGACGGGGACCCGCACAAGCGGAGGAGCAUGUGGCUUAAUUCGAUGCAACGCGAAGAACCUUACCUGGACUUGACAUAUAACUGCACGUCCCGUGAAAGCGGGAUUCCUUCGAGGGUGUUGUACAGGUGCUGCAUGGCUGUCGUCAGUUCGUGCCGUGAGGUGUUAGGUUAAGUCCUGCAACGAACGCAACCCCUGUGUUUAGUUGCCAUCAGGUAAUGCUGGGCACUCUAGACAGACCGCCCGUGCAAUCGGGAGGAAGGUGGGGACGACGUCAAGUCAGUAUGGCCCUUACGUCCAGGGCCGCACACGUGCUACAAUGACCGGUACAGAGGGCGGCGAUACCGCGAGGUGGAGCUAAUCCCUUAAAACCGGUCCCAGUUCGGAUUGGAGUCUGCAACUCGACUCCAUGAAGUUGGAUUCGCUAGUAACGGCGUAUCAGCUACGGCGCCGCGAUACGUUCCCGGGUCUUGUACACACCGCCCGUCACAUCAUGAAGCCGUCUGCACCCGAAGUCGCCGGCCCAACUUUUUUUUA